CCAUCCGGUAUCAUAGACAGAACCGCGC
rnacentral:piRNA from 1 species